rnacentral:rRNA from 1 species
GAUGAACGCUGGCGGCGUGCUUAACACAUGCAAGUCGAACGGUGAACACGGAGCUUGCUCUGUGGGAUCAGUGGCGAACGGGUAAGUAGCACGUGAGCAACCUGCCCCUGACUCUGGGAUAAGCGCUGGAAACGGCGUCUAAUACUGGAUAUGUGACGUGACCGCAUGGUCUGCGUUUGGAAAGAUUUUUCGGUUGGGGAUGGGCUCGCGGCCUAUCAGCUUGUUGGUGAGGUAAUGGCUCACCAAGGCGUCGACGGGUAGCCGGCCUGAGAGGGUGACCGGCCACACUGGGAUUGAGACACGGCCCAGACUCCUACGGGAGGCAGCAGUGGGGAAUAUUGCACAAUGGGCGAAAGCCUGAUGCAGCAACGCCGCGUGAGGGAUGACGGCCUUCGGGUUGUAAACCUUUUUUAGCAGGGAAGAAGCGAAAGUGACGGUACCUGCAGAAAAAGCGCCGGCUAACUACGUG